CCUAGCCUGGUGUUUUAGCACCCUUCUGAAAAUAUAAAUAUUUAAAAAACAUUCAUGUGUGAGAAACGUCCUGAAACUGGCUAGAAAAUUGCCUAAACUGCCCUUCUUAUGAAAAGGCAAGUUGAACCACGUUGCUGUAAAGCACUAGCCCCUUUCAGGUUUUGGACACGUGGCCCCUCUGGCUGAAUGGACAGAAAGUCUGAAUGUGUAAGAGCCGCUAAAAACAACCACCCAAACAAGACAGCCAUUCUCACUCCCCUCAGACCACCGCUCAGAGAGGCUGCUCUCGACGGGUUCUACAUGCUAAAUAACUCCUAUUCUUAGUUCACGUUGACUUGGUGGCCAAGCCAGGUGAAAAGACAAUUGACCCAAACAGCCCCAUGGAGCUCAAAGCUUCACUAACGAGGCGACUUUUUGGCAAAUACUGCAUCUUCAGCCAGGAGAAGUUGGCUGAGGACAAAAGGGCUUUUGAAGCGGUGAGUGUAAAUUCAGACUCCUUUUCUUUCUUUCUUCCUUCCUUCCUUUCUUCGCCCUCUCUCUUCUCCUGGGUCCGGAGACCGCUCAGCAGAAAUAAUCAGCGCCGUUGCUUUCCGUCCACGUCCCCUGAAUUACUCAAACAUCAAAUGUGACUUCAGAAUGGAGGCACGCUUGAUUCUUUUCUGCAAAAGUUUCCCUACCCAUUCUUUAUUUACAUGUCCUGGUAAGGCACAGCGAUGUCCAGCCAGUCAGAAGACACACACACACACACACACACACACACACACACACACACACACACACACAGGAGGCCAUUAAACAAAUUAAAAGGGAUGAGGAUGACUAGUACAGUACUCUUGGAAUCCCCAAUUUGAUUAGUCUGAGUUUAAUACACAAAAGCAGCGCCGGAGAAAGAGGGGAGGCGAACUGCUCUUUAAUAACCUGU
rnacentral:lncRNA from 1 species